GAUGUCAGGGAUUCUUUUAGAAAAGCAACUUUCAGGGCCAUUGCUGAGAUCACCACCCAUUCAGCAAACGUCCCAAACGCUGAAUGCACUUCUGUGUCUCAGCCCCAUGGCAUAACUGGUGUUCAUCACGACCGCCUUUGACUACCCAGGAAAGGUUAAUUUAUAUUUUGUAAGCUCUGCUUAAUGAGGCAGGGGGAGCGAGUAACGAACGAGCUUUAAAAAGAUCUCUAUCAGAACCAAAUUACGGAAGUUAAGCAGUUAAAUGAAUUAACCCCUCCACCCGAAAAGCUCGUCUAACCCGGUGACGCUUUCUGGAGGACCCUCAGCUUCAGACGUUGUCCCUUCUGGACGGACUCUGCUCACGGGCCACCAGUGUUGCCACUUCAUCUGCACGUCAGGAAUGAGCAGUGUCUCACCAUUCUCUCCCUGGCAAGUACUCCCAGGAGAUGGUGGGGAUCACGCGGUCAAGUUCUCUUUCUUCCCCUGGCCUCGGUCUGAAAUUCCCCAAACGUUUGGGGCCCUGCAAUGCUGGGCAGCAGGCAGUUUCCCCAGCAGUUGCCCUGGCAUCUUGCCCCCUUCGCACAAAGCAAUCACUGUUGCAGAAAAUGAGGGUCCUGUGACCGUUUGGCACCAACCCCCGCCUGGCAUUCGCGUGGGAGAAGGAAAUGUCUGUCUCUCUGACAAUAGAUUCUGAUCACAACCCGGGCCCCUUUCAGAGAAACAGCUUCCCAUAGAAUGACUGCCUAGAGGAUACCAUACCGCACCAUGUCUCCUGUGAUUGGUGAAGCUUUCUCUGUUGUUCCUUAUUUUCCACGACCUUGACAUUUUUAGAUGCUAUGGAUUGGAAGUGAAUCACUAAGUCCAGCUUAUACUCAGAGGGAGGGAACUGAAACCCCACUCCCUGGAGGGGGGAGAAUCUACAUCUAUAAUUUGGAAUUCCUCUAUAAAGAUUUGUCUCUUCCCGGUAA